rnacentral:rRNA from 1 species
UACGGAGGAUCCAAGCGUUAUCCGGAUUUAUUGGGUUUAAAGGGUGCGUAGGCGGCCUAUUAAGUCAGGGGUGAAAGACGGUAGCUUAACUAUCGCAGUGCCUUUGAUACCGAUGGGCUUGAAUGAACUAGAGGUAGGCGGAAUGUGACAAGUAGCGGUGAAAUGCAUAGAUAUGUCACAGAACACCAAUUGCGAAGGCAGCUUACUAUGGUUUUAUUGACGCUGAGGCACGAAAGCGUGGGGAUCAAACAGG